rnacentral:tRNA from 1 species
UAAGUAGAAGCUGAAUUAUGCGCCUAGCUGUUAAUUAGGAAGAUGUAAAUUAAAGUUUUACCUGCUUAG